CCCUGCCAUUUGUACACACCGCCCGUCGCUCCUACCGAUUGGAUGGUCCGGUGAAAGGAUCGGAUCAGUAACUCUUGUGUGAAUACAUGAGAAUGUUAUUGAAAAGUUCACUGAGCCUUAUCAUCUAG
rnacentral:rRNA from 1 species